rnacentral:misc_RNA from 1 species
GUGGCAUCCUUAAUAUCUUGAAAGCUAAGCUUUUGGGCAUCAUUAAACAACAUCAAAACGACAGUCUGAAAUAGAGACACUGCCAGCUCCUUUUUACCUUUUGGAAAUUCAGCUUUCAAGACACAGUGACCCAAUGAAUUUUGCCACAUUAAGCGCCUGCCACUAUACUUACUUAAAUAGAAUUCUUUGAAAAUAUCCUGAUAGACGUUCAGCUCAUGAGGAAGCCUAACAUCCAUGGGUGGAUAUGUAGGCCAGUACCCUGUUGUUAAGACAUGGACACUCAUCUCAAUCCCUGAUGGAAGUUUUGUCCUGGCCUGGGAUGAUUGUUUGAAGGAUUCAUUUAUCUCCUUCGAUAGUUCAAUAUCCUUAAACAUUCCUUCAAGUUUGUUUGUAAACUGACUGCCACAUUCGGUCUUCAGCUUUGAUAUCAUAGAUUUUUCUGCAUCGAUAGAAGCACUUUUUCCCAAUAGUAGUCUUUUAGCAAGAUCUUUCUUAUAAAAUGCUUCAAACACAUCCUUGCCCUGAAUAAACCUGAACAAAACCAAAACUUUAUCAAGUGUACCCUCCAACUCCUCUUCAGAAGUUCCCUUAUUUCCAGCGCGAAGCUUCUCAUCCAAAAACUUCGCAAUCAGCUCUGCCGGUCGGUUCUGACGAAGAUUAAUUAGAUGUUCAAAUGCAUCUUUUAUCGUAUUGCAAAAUGCUUCAUUCUUAGAAAAGCUUUCUUCCCAUAUUGUGUCAAGAGAAGCCUUAAAUUCUAACAAGGAUGAAACCAUAUCCUUAUCUUUUUCUUCAUCCAUGAUAAUGCCUUGUCCAGUUCUUCGAAUGUAUGAGCUAAGAGCCUGCCUUAAUGAUUCAAGGGCAUUGACCCUUAAGAAUAAUGAGUACAUUCUCUUAAGAUCCUCAGUUCUAUGGCCAUCCAUUAGCAUCAUGAACCCCUUAUCCAGAAUUGCAGAUAUGUGGCGUUCAAGAAGCUGCCUUUCUGCAGUUGCUAUUAGUGGCUUUCUAGUACUAGCAUCAAGAUAGAGUAAGCAUCUUUCAUGUUCUUCAUGCAACCUAAUCUCCACAUGCUUCAAGUAAUCUGGAACAUCUGAAUGUUGCAUGUAUUUCAUGCCUUCAGCAGCAUAAAAUUCAGAUGUGCAAUCCAGAAAUGGUCUUUCAAAGCUUUCAGCAUAAAUUCCUAAAGCAGUAAACAUCUUCAAAAGAUGGUUUAAGAGAGUUCUAUCAACCGAUUCACCUAAUCUUUCCCUCUCAAUCAUUCGCAAAAGACCUGUGACAGUUUUGUGCUCAACUUCAGG